GGCGAACGCUGGCGGCGUGCUUAACACAUGCAAGUCGAACGGAAAGGCCCUGCUUUUGUGGGGUGCUCGAGUGGCGAACGGGUGAGUAACACGUGAGUAACCUGCCCUUGACUUUGGGAUAACUUCAGGAAACUGGGGCUAAUACCGGAUAGGAGCUCCUGCUGCAUGGUGGGGGUUGGAAAGUUUCGGCGGUUGGGGAUGGACUCGCGGCUUAUCAGCUUGUUGGUGGGGUAGUGGCUUACCAAGGCUUUGACGGGUAGCCGGCCUGAGAGGGUGACCGGCCACAUUGGGACUGAGAUACGGCCCAGACUCCUACGGGAGGCAGCAGUGGGGAAUAUUGCACAAUGGGCGGAAGCCUGAUGCAGCAACGCCGCGUGCGGGAUGACGGCCUUCGGGUUGCAAACCGCUUUCGCCUGUGACGAAGCGUGAGUGACGGUAAUGGGUAAAGAAGCACCGGCUAACUACGUG
rnacentral:rRNA from 1 species